AGAGUUUGAUCCUGGCUCAGAGCGAACGCUGGCGGCAGGCCUAACACAUGCAAGUCGAACGGGCCCCUUCGGGGGUCAGUGACAGACGGGUGAGUAACGCGUGGGAACGUGCCCAUCGGUUCGGGAUAACCCAGGGAAACUUGGGCUAAUACCGGAUACGCCCUUUUGGGGAAAGAUUCAUUGCCGAUGGAUCGGCCCGCGUCUGAUUAGCUAGUUGGCGAGGUAACGGCUCACCAAGGCGACGAUCAGUAGCUGGUCUGAGAGGAUGAUCAGCCACACUGGGACUGAGACACGGCCCAGACUCCUACGGGAGGCAGCAGUGGGGAAUAUUGGACAAUGGGCGCAAGCCUGAUCCAGCCAUGCCGCGUGAGUGAUGAAGGCCUUAGGGUUGUAAAGCUCUUUCACCCACGACGAUAAUGACGGUAGUGGGAGAAGAAGCCCCGGCUAACUUCGUGCCAGCAGCCGCGGUAAUACGAAGGGGGCUAGCGUUGCUCGGAAUCACUGGGCGUAAAGGGCGCGUAGGCGGCCGAUCAAGUCAGGGGUGAAAGCCUGUGGCUCAACCACAGAAUUGCCUUUUGAUACUGUUCGGCUCGAGACCGGAAGAGGUUGGUGGAACUGCGAGUGUAGAGGUGAAAUUCGUAGAUAUUCGCAAGAACACCAGUGGCGAAGGCGGCCAACUGGUCCGGUUCUGACGCUGAGGCGCGAAAGCGUGGGGAGCAAACAGGAUUAGAUACCCUAGUAGUCC
rnacentral:rRNA from 1 species